rnacentral:tRNA from 1 species
GAGGGUAUAGCUCAAGUGAUAGAGUGUCUGCUUAGCAUGCAGGAGGUCCUGGGUUCAAUCCCCAGUACCUUCU